CUUCUUUAUUCUACUUUAAUUUGUCUUUAUAAGUCAAACAGAUAAGUAGAACUGCAACUUGAGAAAAAAUCUUGAUGAAGAUUUGAUUGUAAUUAGUAAAGCUCAAAAAGCAUUGCACAUCUUGUAUGGUUCUUAUAAGUCUUCCGAUCUAUAAUAAUUUGAACCUUCUUGGGAUCCAUCAUAAGAUCUUUGUUGGAAAUAAUGUACUCUAAAAAGUCAACUUGAGUAGUGUGGAAUAUACUCUUUUCCAACUUGGCAUAUAAUCUUGCAUCUCUAAGUUUUUGUAAUAUG
rnacentral:lncRNA from 1 species